CACGUAGGGCGCAAGCGUUGUCCGGAAUUAUUGGGCGUAAAGAGCUCGUAGGCGGUCUGUUACGUCUGCUGUGAAAUCCCCGGGCUCAACCCGGGAACUGCGUCCGAUACUGGCAGGCUUGAAUCCGGGAGAGGGAUGCGGAAUUCCAGGUGUAGCGGUGAAAUGCGUAGAUAUCUGGAGGAACACCGGUGGCGAAGGCGGCAUCCUGGACCGGCAUUGACGCUGAGGCGCGAAAGCUAGGGGAGCAAACGGG
rnacentral:rRNA from 1 species